CGGGGGAGGCGGGAUCCUGCGCUGUGUCCCGGCGCCCUGUGCUCCCGGGCCUGCGCUGGUGGAUUCGCGCUCCCGGGCCGCGCAGCCUCCU
rnacentral:pre_miRNA from 1 species